UUAGUACUUCCUUCGUCCGGAAAUACUUGUCAUCAAAAUGAAUAAAAGGGGAUGUAUCUAGAUGUAUUUUAGUUUUAGAUACAUCCUUUUUUGUUUAUUUUGAUGACAAAUAUUUUCGGAUGGAGGGAGUAUAAA
rnacentral:pre_miRNA from 1 species